CAAAGUUGUGUAGUGCGAUCGGUGGAUGCCUUGGCACCAAGAGCCGAUGAAGGACGUUGUGACCUGCGAUAAGCCCUGGGGAGUUGGUGAGCGAGCUGUGAUCCGGGGGUGUCCGAAUGGGGAAACCUGGAAUGUCCGGAGUAGUGUCCGGUGGCCCUGCCCUGAAUGUAUAGGGGUGUGGGUGGUAACGCGGGGAAGUGAAACAUCUUAGUACCCGUAGGAAGAGAAAACAAGUGUGAUUCCGUGAGUAGUGGCGAGCGAAAGCGGAGGAGGCUAAACCGUGUGUGUGUUCAAGCCGGCAGGUGUUGCAUGUGCGGGGUUGUGGGGGCCUUGUGGUUCUGCUGCCGCAGGAUUGGCCAGUGAGAAAUGUUGCGUGAAGGUGAAGCGUCUGGGAAGGCGUACCGGAGUGGGUGAGAGUCCUGUAACUGUAAGCGUGGCACUGGUGUGGGGUUGCCCCGAGUAGCGUGGGACUCGUGGAAUUUCGCGUGAAUCUGGCGGGACCACCCGUCAAGCCUAAAUACUCCUUGGUGACCGAUAGUGGAUGAGUACCGUGAGGGAAGGGUGAAAAGUACCCCGGGAGGGGAGUGAAAGAGUUCCUGAAACCGGUCGCAUGCAAGCCGUCAGAGCCUGUGUGGUGAUGGCGUGCCUUUUGAAGAAUGAGCCUGCGAGUUAGUGAUGCGUGGCGAGGUUAACCCGUGGUGGGGGAGUCGUAGCGAAAGCGAGUCCGAUAAGGGCGUGAGUCGCGUGUUCUAGACCCGAAGCGGUGUGAUCUAUCCAUGGCCAGGAUGAAGCGUCGGUAAGACGUCGUGGAGGUCCGAACCCACUUCAGUUGAAAAUGGAGGGGAUGAGUUGUGGAUAGGGGUGAAAGGCCAAUCAAACACCGUGAUAGCUGGUUCUCCCCGAAAUGCAUUUAGGUGCAGCGUUGCGUGGUUCUUGUUGGAGGUAGAGCACUGGAUGGUCUAGGGGGCUUAUCGGCUUACCGAAAUCAGCCAAACUCCGAAUGCUGGCAAGUGUAGCGUGGCAGUGAGACGGCGGGGGAUAAGCUUCGUCGUCGAGAGGGAAACAGCCCAGAUCAUCAGCUAAGGCCCCUAAGUGGUGACUCAGUGGGAAAGGAUGUGGAGUUGCGUAGACAACCAGGAGGUUGGCUUGGAAGCAGCCAUCCUUGAAAGAGUGCGUAAUAGCUCACUGGUCAAGUGAUUCCGCGCCGAUAAUGUAGCGGGGCUUAAGUUAUCCGCCGAAGCUGUGGCAACCUGUGUGGUUGGGUAGGGGAGCGUCGUGUCAGUGGUGAAGCUGCCGGGUGACUGUGUGGUGGAGUUGAUGCGAGUGAGAAUGCAGGCAUGAGUAGCGUGUGACGGGUGGGAAUCCCGUCCGCCGAUUAUCCAAGGGUUCCAGGGUCAAGUUUGUCUGCCCUGGGUGAGUCGGGUCCUAAGGCGAGGCCGACAGGCGUAGUCGAUGGGUAACCAGUUGAUAUUCUGGUACCGGCUUGUCACCGUCCGUGUCGAGGUGUGUGAUGCUAAGCAUGUGAGCUUGUCUUGGGAGUGUUUUUGAUGCUUCUGGGGUGGGUGAGUGUGUGAACCGAUCAUGUAGUAGGCAAGCUGCGGAGGGACGCAGUGAGGUAGCUCAUCCCCGGUGAUGGUUGUCCGGGGCUAAGUGUGUGGACUGUCUGGUAGGUAAAUCCGCUGGGCGUGAAGGUUGAGGCAUGAUGGGGAGCCCAUGGUUGUGGGUGAGUGAGUGAUCCUGUACUGUCGAGAAAAGCUUCGUGAGCGAGGUGGCGGGUCCGCCCGUACCCUAAACCGACACUGGUGGAUAGGUAGAGUAUACCGAGGCGAUCGAGUGAAUCGUGGUGAAGGAACUCGGCAAAAUGCCCCCGUAACUUUGGGAUAAGGGGGACCUGAGCUGUCGUGCACCCGUGCGGUGUGGUGGCGGUGAGGGGCGCAGAGUCCAGGGGGAAACGACUGUUUACCAAAAACACAGGUCCGUGCGAAGUCGUAAGACGAUGUAUACGGACUGACUCCUGCCCGGUGCUGGAAGGUUAAGGGGAACUGUGAGUGUAUGCGUAGCGGUGAACUUAAGCCCCAGUAAACGGCGGUGGUAACUAUAACCAUCCUAAGGUAGCGAAAUUCCUUGUCGGGUAAGUUCCGACCUGCACGAAUGG
rnacentral:rRNA from 1 species